rnacentral:sRNA from 1 species
UGUUAUUAUGUCUCCCCACCCAAACACCACCUGUCGAUAAAAAAAGGUCUUGGAACUGAGUUCGCACUUUCAGAUUACGCCAGGUGUAGGAUACCCUUAAGUCACUAAGUUUAAGUUUCAAUCCUGGACUUUAGUAAGUGGAGACUCUGGACAGGGUCUUUGUGGAGGUCCCUACCCUCUUUAACAGAAGUG